GGGCUCCGGUGGAACAGCAGCUGCUAUGCAUGCAGAAGGUCCCAGGUUCGAUCCCUGGCAUCUCCA